rnacentral:rRNA from 1 species
GCACAAGCGGUGGAGCAUGUGGUUCAAUUCGACGCAACGCGAAGAACCUUACCUGGGCUCGAAGCGCAGUGGACAGCGGUGGAAACAUCGUCUUCCCGCAAGGGACUGCUGCGUAGGUGCUGCAUGGCUGUCGUCAGCUCGUGUCGUGAGAUGUUGGGUUAAGUCCCGCAACGAGCGCAACCCUUAUUGCCAGUUGCCAUCAUUAAGUUGGGCACUCUGGCGAAACUGCCCCGGAUAACGGGGAGGAAGGUGGGGAUGACGUCAAGUCCUCAUGGCCUUUAUGUCCAGGGCUACACACGUGCUACAAUGGUCGGUACAAACCGUCGCAAACCUGCGAAGGGGAGCUAAUCGGAAAAAGCCGGCCUCAGUUCGGAUUGGAGUCUGCAACUCGACUCCAUGAAGCUGGAAUCGCUAGUAAUCGCAGAUCAGAACGCUGCGGUGAAUACGUUCCCGGGC